GACGAACGCUGGCGGCGUGCUUAACACAUGCAAGUGGAGCGACGAACCGGGGCUUGCCCCGGGGCAGAGCCGCGAACGGGUGAGUAACACGUGGGUAACCCACCUCGAUGACCGGGACAACCCGAGGAAACUCGGGCUAAUACCGGAUGUGAUCCUCUUUCGUAAGGAAGAUGAUGAAAGAUAGCUUCGGCCUUCGCAUCGAGACGGGCCCGCGGCCCAUUAGCUUGUUGGUGAGGUAACGGCUUACCAAGGCUUCGAUGGGUAGCUGGUCUGAGAGGACGAUCAGCCACACUGGGACUGAGACACGGCCCAGACUCCUACGGGAGGCAGCAGUGGGGAAUCUUGCACAAUGCGCGAAAGCGUGAUGCAGCAACGCCGCGUGGGGGAAGACGGCCUUCGGGUUGUAAACCCCUUUCAGUUGGGACGAAGCUUCGACGGUUAAUAGCCGGCUGGAGUGACGGUACCUUCAGAAGAAGCCCCGGCUAACUACGUGCCAGCAGCCGCGGUAAAAC
rnacentral:rRNA from 1 species